rnacentral:rRNA from 1 species
GACGAACGCUGGCGGCGUGCCUAAUACAUGCAAGUCGAACGCUUCCUUCCUCCCGAGUGCUUGCACUCAAUUGGAAAGAGGAGUGGCGGACGGGUGAGUAACACGUGGGUAACCUACCCAUCAGAGGGGGAUAACACUUGGAAACAGGUGCUAAUACCGCAUAACAGUUUAUGCCGCAUGGCAUAAGAGUGAAAGGCGCUUUCGGGUGUCGUUGAUGGAUGGACCCGCGGUGCAUUAGCUAGUUGGUGAGGUAACGGCUCACCAAGGCCACGAUGCAUAGCCGACCUGAGAGGGUGAUCGGCCACACUGGGACUGAGACACGGCCCAGACUCCUACGGGAGGCAGCAGUAGGGAAUCUUCGGCAAUGGACGAAAGUCUGACCGAGCAACGCCGCGUGAGUGAAGAAGGUUUUCGGAUCGUAAAACUCUGUUGUUAGAGAAGAACAAGGACGUUAGUAACUGAACGUCCCCUGACGGUAUCUAACCAGAAAGCCACGGCUAACUACGUG